CAACCUGGCGGCGUGCGUAAGAAUGCAAGUCGAGCGGUGCACGGGCUUUGGUCUGUGCAUAGCGGCGGACGGGUGAGUAACGCGUAAGUGACCUACCCAGGAGACGGGGAUAACACUGCGAAAGCGGUGCUAAUACCGGAUACGGUCCUUGCCCUGCAUGGGGUGAGGAGGAAAGGCGGAAGCCGCUCCUGGAUGGGCUUGCGUCCCAUUAGCUAGUUGGCGGGGUAAAGGCCCACCAAGGCGACGAUGGGUAGCCGGCCUGAGAGGGUGUACGGCCACACUGGGACUGAGACACGGCCCAGACUCCUACGGGAGGCAGCAGUCGGGAAUUUUCCACAAUGGGCGAAAGCCUGAUGGAGCAACGCCGCGUGGGUGAAGAAGGUCUUCGGAUUGUAAAGCCCUGUCCUGAGGGACGAAGCGAGUGACGGUACCUCAGGAGGAAGCCCCGGCUAACUACGUGCCAGCAGCCGCGGUAAU
rnacentral:rRNA from 1 species